rnacentral:lncRNA from 1 species
CCCAGCAAGAAAUCUGCUGGAAGAGCUAGACCUGUCAACCUAUGCCAGUGCAACUGGACGCAUUGCAAGACAGACAAAGCCCACCCUAAAUAAAAUGCUGUGUGAUGAUACCCAGCUAUCUGAAAGCUGGUAUAUGCAGAUGAGCCUUGGCAAAGCUAGAAAGUACCACAACCCUGGCUCCCAAAUCAAGAGUCAAGUGCUCCUGUGAAAGAGCUCAUGCAGAAAGCCAGCCAGCAGUAGAAGAGGCUAAGAAUAUUGAAAGGAAAAAAGAUGUAACUAGACAGGUAAAUAUUGC